GAAAAAAAACCUUUAAUAUAUAGGAAGAAGGUUAUUAUUUGAGAAUAUAUAGGUUACUAUUCCUAAUUUGGGACAAAGGAGUACUAUAUGUUAUUAUUUGAAAGAAUGUUACUAUUUGUAAUUUGGGACAAAUGAGUGCUAUUUGGGACAUAUGAGUACUAUUCAAAAUAUAGGUAUAGGUAGGAGGAAUGAUUGCAUGAUAAGAAUUUUGUGAAUGACAUGAUAGCAAGUUCCAAGAAUACAUGUAAUCAAUAGAAUUGAUAAAGAAGUCAUGCCAAUAGAAUUCAUAACAAUGAAAUCAUUGCAUCAUGUGAAUGACACAUAAACAACUAACAUAUGAAAGCUGAGAAAGUAAAGGAACAAAAGACAACAUGUUGUCUACAAAUUUUAGGGAAUGAACAUAUUGAAAAAAAUUUAGUAUAAAUUGCUAAACAUAAAUUCAAAUUAAAAAAUGCUACAUAAAAAAAAUAGACUAAUUACUUAAAAGAAAAUUUAAAAUAUAAUUUAUUAAUCAUAAGUUACAAUGAUGGUAAAAUUAGUGUGAAUGUAGUUUUAGGAGGAGUUGGUUUACAUAGGGUUAAUGAAUUCAUCUAUGAAGACACUUAUUCAUUGGCAUACAUGCAUGAUGCCACUUGUCUCUUGACUUCUUUACACAUGUCAAAUGGAGCAAGAAAUAGAGAUAAUAGGUAUAAUCAUUAUAUGAUAGCUAGUAAUAGGGAUAAUCAUGAUAGGAAUAGCUAGUAAUAGAUAUAAUGAUGAUAGAGAAGCAAUGAUGGCAUUAUAUGAUCAUGAAAGGAAGGUUGCAUGUGAUGUUAGAAAGAUGUGGUAGAUUAAUCACCUAAUUAUUGAAUGAAGGAUAUCAAGAUGAGAUAUUGAGAA
rnacentral:lncRNA from 1 species